AGGACCCAAGUAAAAGAUUGGGAUGUACUUCAUUAGGAGAGAGAGCUAUACGAGAUCAUGUAUUCUUUCAGGAUAUUGAUUGGAGAAGAUUAGAAAGAAGAGCAAUUGAACCGCCUUUCAAACCAAAAGUUGGGAAAACAUACUUAGAUCCAGUAAAUUUCGAGUUAGAGUUCACACGAGAAGAAGCAGCACUUACACCUUCAGGAAAGGACGUUUUAGAGACAAUUAAUCAGGACGAUUUCAAAGGAUUUUCAUAUGUUAAUCCGAACUUCACAGCCAACACGCAAUUCAACUUGUAACAGUUAAACUAGCUGGACCUAACAUCGCGACGUGUCACGUGAACUGCCUACCAUGGCUAAUGAGCUCCACCUACCCAAAGUAACUUGAUUUUACACACAACCAUUAAAAUCUUGUUCUAUGUGUGUCGACAAGUGUCUGUACUGAUGGAGGAGGAACAGGGGCAAUAUUGGGUGCAAUUUGUCUAGGAUCAUCACUUGGAAUACCAAGUCUUUUGUUUACAUUCCCUUCUGAUGUGAUCCUCUUUAUAAAAACCUGCAUCAGUUCAGGAAUGUAACUAAAUUCUUUGGUACAAGAACACGAA